GUGCUCGCUUCAGCAGCACAUAUACUAAAAUUGGAACGACACAGAGAAGAUUAGAAUGGCCCCUGCGCAAGGAUGACAUGUAAAUUCACGAAGCGUUCCAUAUUUUU
rnacentral:snRNA from 1 species